rnacentral:rRNA from 1 species
UACGUAGGGGGGCAAGCGUUGUCCGGAAUCAUUGGGCGUAAAGAGCGUGUAGGCGGUUCGGUAAGUCGGCUGUGAAAGUCCAGGGCUCAACCCUGGGAUGCCGGUCGAUACUGCCGGACUAGAGUUCGGAAGAGGCGAGUGGAAUUCCCGGUGUAGCGGUGAAAUGCGCAGAUAUCGGGAAGAACACCCGUGGCGAAGGCGGCUCUCUGGGACGGUACUGACGCUGAGACGCGAAAGCGUGGGGAGCGAACAGG